GGCCAAUACAAACCAUUGUGUGGAAAUCUAUUCACAAACCAGACUUUACAUAGGACACGAGGUCAUGCGUUUAGACUGGAAGAAAGAAGAUUUCGUCUAAGGCAAAGGAAAGGUUUUUUUUUUUACUGUAAGAACAAUAAGGAUGUGGAAUUCUCUGCCUGAAGAAGUGGUUUUAUCAGAGUCCAUACAGAUGUUCAAACAGCUACUAGAUGCAUACUUGCAAAAACAGAAUAUUCAAGGAUAUAAUCUUUCAAUGUAGGGUAAUAACUGCUUGAUCCAAG
rnacentral:lncRNA from 1 species